UACAGAGGUCCCAAGCGUUGUUCGGAUUCAUUGGGCGUAAAGAGCGUGUAGGCGGUUCGAUAAGUCGGCUGUGAAAGUCCAGGGCUCAACCCUGGGAUGCCGGUCGAAACUGUCGGACUAGAGUUCGGAAGAGGCGAGUGGAAUUCCCGGUGUAGCGGUGAAAUGCGCAGAUAUCGGGAGGAACACCAAUGGCGAAGGCAGCUCGCUGGGACGUUACUGACGCUGAGACGCGAAAGCGUGGGGAGCAAACAGG
rnacentral:rRNA from 1 species